UACGGAGGGUGCAAGCGUUGCUCGGAAUUAUUGGGCGUAAAGGGUAGGUAGGUGGUCUCAUUUGUCUGGGGUGAAAGCCUUGAGCUUAACUCAAGAAGUGCCCCAGAAACGGUGAGACUGGAGUCCUGGAGAGGGUCGUGGAAUUCCCGGUGUAGCGGUGAAAUGCGUAGAUAUCGGAAGGAACAUCAGUGGCGAAAGCGGCUUCCUGGACCAGUACCGACGUCAGGCACGAAAGCGUGGGGAGCAAACAGG
rnacentral:rRNA from 1 species